UGCUCCCUCACUGAGUCCCCGUGGCACAAGUGUGCUUUGCCAGCAGCCCUGUUGCACUCUCCUCCCCAGGGUUAAGCUUGAGCAUUCCCCUUUUGAGCGCCGGUUGCUGUGGCUGGGAGCUGCUCCAUGCAAGGACCGGAGGCCAAAGCUUGGAAAUGAGAGAAGUUGGUUCUUUUGAAGCGGUUCGAGGCACGCCCUGCUGCAAAGGGGACUUCAUGGGAGUCGGAAACACAGGCACACCGGUCUGAAACACUUACUGUACAAUAGCAGGAAUGUAGGAAGCCUUGAAAAUGAAUCUGCUCUCUCUAAGAAAGUGUCAAAGCUUUCAGAGGAAAACAAACUGAACUUAUCCCUGUAUCUUUAUGCAGAUUUCCCCCUGAUGCUCCUUUCCUAACCCCGAGCCUGGUUAAGGGCUGAGGCAGUGGUCAGGCACAUAUUAGUGUUACAGAAAAAUGGGUUACAAAAGGGGGGAGAACAGACUUACAAAAAGCCUCCUCUGUCAUUACAGCCAGAGACAUUUUGAAAGCACACAAAGCACAUGGGUCAGUCCUCCGUUUAAUUGUACUCAACGGUCUAGUUGCUCAUUCAAUCCCAUUUCAAGAUCAGCUGGCUGCUCUGCAGGCAUCACCACUGGUCAGGAAGUAUUUUAUUCCUUCUCUUCCCUUGCCCCACUUUCCCCACAUUUUCUCCCAUUUCCUUCCUUCCUUUUGGAAAGUGGGGGAUGCACACAACCCUCUUUCUACCUCCCCUGGUCUUCAGGCAGUAAAACACACAAGUGGGUAGAGACAGGUUGUGAGUCUCACUGAGAUGAGGUAAUCUAUGCUGAAUCUCAACCACAACCUGGACAGGCCUCCAGCAGGAGGAGGGAAAUGGGAUUCCUGCCCACUUGUGGUUGUCUUCCACCCUGGAAUGCCCAAUCCCAUCUAGAAGCUACUACAGUGAGCAACAACAAACACAUAAAAGACAAGUACAGCUGAGUAAUUUUUGGUCUCAUCAACUGCAUCAUCAGAAUAGUCACCCAAAUGAAGUGUUUAUAUUUACAUUAUUCAGAGCAAGACUGCUUAAAGCAGAAGAUGGUCCAGCAGCAAGUCUUUCUUAGUCUCCUCCUACGACCAGUGCCUGAUGCUUUACUGUCAAAUGUGUUUUAAGUAGACAUUAGAAGUGAUGACUGCAAGGAAUGCAAAAGCCCAGGGAAACCACUGCAGACUUCAAGGUUUCUGAAACCUGCCCCUUUCCACUCAGGACAACCAGGAUUAUGGUGCUGCUGAAGAGAAUGUGCCCUCAUUUCUGCAGAGCCAUCUUCCUGAGCAGAUCAUUACGAUUACCCAAUGUCAUUUGCUUCAACUCCGAGGGUUGGUUAAACUAAUUCCCAUUUCUUGGUGACAUUUACCCCCAUAAAUAUCUAGUACAGACUUAAACUCUGGGGCUACCCCUGAGGACACUUGCUGUUGUGUACAGUGUUGUGUACAGUGUUGUGUACAGUUAAUUCUAGUGUAAGUACCUCCACUGCCUCCAAGAGAAAUGCAAAGCAUUGCUGUAACAAUAUCUACCUCCUGCAGUCAUUGUAAGGCAUAGUGAAUUCAGCUUUGUAAUAUGGGAAUCUUAUCAAUGGAAUUUCUACCUACAUACACUUUGCCUAUUUAUUUAAAUGGCUAUAACUGUUACCGAGACUUUAGUCUAUGCUCAUCUUUUAAAAAUAAAAAGCUUCAUAUUCAA